rnacentral:rRNA from 1 species
CCCGCUCAGAAACUUAAAGGAAUUGACGGGGGGCCCGCACAAAGCGGAGGAACAUGUGGUUUAAUUCGAUGAUACGCGAGGAACCUUACCUGGGCUAGAACGCAUUCGGAAUCAGGCCGAAAGGCCUGCGCCAGCGAUGGCCGCUUGCGAGGUGCUGCAUGGUUGUCGUCAGCUCGUGCCGUGAGGUGUCGGGGUUAAGUCCCAUAACGAGCGCAACCCCUACUGCUAGUUGCCAGCGGGUCAUGCCGGGGACUCUAGCGGAACUGCCAGCGUAAGCUGCGAGGAAGGUGGGGAUGACGUCAAAUCAGCACGGCCCUUACGUCCAGGGCUACACACGUGUUACAAUGGCCGGUACAGAGGGCAGCCACCCCGCGAGGGGGCGCGAAUCCCGAAAGCCGGUCCCAGUUCGGAUCGGAGUCUGCAACCCGACUCCGUGAAGCUGGAUUCGCUAGUAAUCGCGCAUCAGCCACGGCGCGGUGAAUACGUUCCCGGGCCUU